CUUGUGUGGGUGUCUUGGC
rnacentral:miRNA from 1 species